AGCCUUAUAGUUGAAUAAACAACGCUAAGCUGCAACCUUAGAAGUGUGCAAUCACUAGGGCUU
rnacentral:tRNA from 3 species